AUGGAACUGCUCAGUAUUUCACAAUUCAGUAAAAAUAAUGACCUCACAAGAACUACUCACCAGCCCUGUUCCGCAUCAUUCCUCUGCGAGGCGUUUACACUUCUGAGGCCACCUCCAAAACCUUACGUAUACAAUAUUAAUUUUUGCCACAUCUGGGAACCGCUGGAUGUUAAGGGAACAACCCCACUCUGCUCCGUGAGUUCCCUGUGGACGUUAGCGGCUUUUCUGGGUGAUCUCAUGGAGCCUUGUGACUUCACCUGCAGCCUCUGGUCCCCAAGGCCCAGGCCUGAGCUCUCAUCCUUAUGCUCUGCAGGGCUGCAGUGAACUUCGAACUCCAUCCGCCUUGCCUGAUCGAGCUCGUCUAGGCGGCUUCGGGCUGGUGGCCACAGCUCCUCUGGGCUGAUGGGCAGAUGCUCCUUCCUCCUGCGUGGGGCAGGACCCAGGGGGCAGGCGGAAACCACCUCGUCUCUGGUGAGUGGUGCUUCCUCAGCCCCUUGGCGGUAAAGAGACGUAGUGAUGACACACGGGGCCGAUUUCUUUCCUCCUCCUCUUCUGUCUCGGCCAACCUCCCCUUUCUCAUCUUUAACGCCUGCGAAUCUCUGAAUCCUCUCCUGAC
ensembl:lncRNA